rnacentral:SRP_RNA from 1 species
GCCGGGCAUGGUGGUGCACGCCUGUAAUCCCAGCUACUCAGGAGGCUGAGGCAGGAGAAUCGCUUGAACCCAGGAAGCAGAGGUUGCAGUGAGCAGAGAUAGCACCACUGCACUCCAGCCUGGGCAACAGAGUGAGACUCUGUCUCAA